rnacentral:piRNA from 1 species
UCACACACAGGGAUGGCUGAUGGAACCCACA